GAUGAACGCUAGCGGCAGGCUUAACACAUGCAAGUCGAGGGGCAGCGUGAAGGUUAGCAAUAACCCUUGACGGCGACCGGCGCAAGGGUGCGUAACGCGUGAGCAACUUGCCCUUAAUCAGGGGGAUAACCGGUGGAAACGCCCGACUAAUACCCCAUGGGCAUUGAGUUGAGGCAUCUCUACUCAAUUAAAGAAAUUCGGAUAAGGAUAGGCUCGCGUGACAUUAGCUAGACGCGGGGUAACGGCUCACCAAGUCUGCGAUCAGUAGCCGGUCUGAGAGGAUGAACGGCCACAUUGGGACUGACGAUACGGCCCAGACUCCUACGGGAGGCAGCAGUGGGGAA
rnacentral:rRNA from 1 species